GGUUGUCAAAUUAGACAUUUUCACUACAAAGCCAAUAUUAGAACCAAUGGUAUAAAAAUUGCGGAGUGAUUAUUUUUUAUUUUAUUUUUUUACCAUCUUUUCUACAACAUGUUGGUUAAGUCGCGUAUAAAGUGCGAUGGGUGUUUCAAGCCAGUAGCGCGGCGCCUUGCUCUGUUCCAAGCAAAGGAUGAAUAUGAAUGUUACGCAGAAAGUUAUGUCAAAUGUUUUUGGGGACUUUGCGAUCUUCACAAAAGCAAAGAGAAUAUUGUUCCCACACCAGGCAUUAAAGUCGUAACAGACCAACCAAGAGCACAGGAGCUGCCAUACAAAAAUCAAAUGAUAAUGCACGACUUAGCCAUAAAAUCUUGAACAGUGAUCAAAUUAUACAAAAAACAACAACAACAAUGUAAAAAUUGUAUAUCUUUUAUUUACAUCAUAAUAAAAAUUAUUGCGUUAAUAUA
rnacentral:lncRNA from 1 species